rnacentral:rRNA from 2 species
UCCUGACUGACCGAUAGUGAACCAGUACCGUGAGGGAAAGGCGAAAAGAACCCCGGCGAGGGGAGUGAAAAAGAACCUGAAACCGUGUACGUACAAGCAGUGGGAGCACGCUUAGGCGUGUGACUGCGUACCUUUUGUAUAAUGGGUCAGCGACUUAUAUUCUGUAGCAAGGUUAACCGAAUAGGGGAGCCGAAGGGAAACCGAGUCUUAACUGGGCGUUAAGUUGCAGGGUAUAGACCCGAAACCCGGUGAUCUAGCCAUGGGCAGGUUGAAGGUUGGGUAACACUAACUGGAGGACCGAACCGACUAAUGUUGAAAAAUUAGCGGAUGACUUGUGGCUGGGGGUGAAAGGCCAAUCAAACCGGGAGAUAGCUGGUUCUCCCCGAAAGCUAUUUAGGUAGCGCCUCGUGAAUUCAUCUCCGGGGGUAGAGCACUGUUUCGGCAAGGGGGUCAUCCCGACUUACCAACCCGAUGCAAACUGCG